CCUGUAGACGUAGUCCAAUCGCAGAGCCAGAGAAUUAGUUCCCUAUAAAAGCCAGAAGAGGCGGGCUUCUCCUUCUUUUUCUGGCUGGCACGCUCUCUGGUCGGACCUGGCGCCUUUGAGGUUGUGCUGCGGCUCUCGGCUUGUUGGAUCUCCUUAGCUUCGAGUUCGAGGCAGCGACCGGCGUUCCUCUUUCAUCCUGGGAAUGAACACCCGAAGCGACCAGUGUCAGCUUCCUGCGGCGCCCCAGAAGGGCGAGGUGUGCCCUGUGCUGUGGAUGGACUUUACCACCAAACAGAUUUCAUGAUGAGCAAACUACAACAGUUUGUCCCCUAUGCAUUUGUGUUAUGGGUAAGUAUAAAGUGGGGGUGGGGGGUAGGGGGUGGGUGCUAGAAGAUUACUGCAAUCUGCCCAUAAUAAAAAGGUAGUUUGAUUAUGGGUGGUAAGAGUCAGGAUGUGACCAGUAGCUUACAGCUAAAUGGUCAUUCACUAUAUGAAAUUUUCAGACCUUUAUAUCUAAAACACUAGGCAGAGCUCCUUGCUGAAGCAGCCUUUUACUUCUGGUGUUUGUGCCUAUCCCUAUUCUCCUUUUCCCACAUUGUUCUGGGUCUUUAAGUACUAAAGGAAAUGGAAUUAUGGAGUUAGAAUACAGCAUCACCUGGUGCUAAGUGGCUUUCUUAAUAUACACGGGUUAUCCUGGCUCCAAAGUGCAUCCUUUCUUUGGAUCACUUCUACCACAGCCAGCUUUGUUGUGGUUGGGGAAAGAGGGAAGAGAACAUGGUGUGGAGAAGACUCAUUUCCCAGUACUAUCCAACGAUUGUGUGUGUAUACACACAUAUAUGCCUAUUUUUUCUUAAUGCAGAACAUUGAUAGAAUGCAUAUAGAUGAACUUGCAAAAAGCAGUUACCCUAUAGUAACUGUAUAAGACGACUGUCAUAAAGAGGCACUUGAUGGAGAUAAAUCUGACAAAAACUUAAAAUGUCCAGAAAGAAUACCUUGCUAUCUCUAGCAUCCAUUGUGAACCUGCCUUAUGACAUAAUGGAAAAGAAAGUUGCCCCAGGGGUAGAGUUGCAGCCUCUGCAGGAAUGAUACUAUAAAUUGGAGUCUCCCAAAGUCCUACCAGGUAAAUCCAAAGCAGCUAUUAGGAGAGUGGAAAAUGGUGCUUUUCUGAACUGUCUCUAGCCUUCCCUGAAAACCUAUUGCUCUGGGUCUUAGUAUAAAUUUGUCCAAACUAAUUACAUAUAGCCCACAUAAAGACAAAGCUUUUUUUUUUUUUUUAAUAUACUAGAUCUGAGUGUCACUAGAUAGUUGUCCUCAGGAAUGUAGCCUAGUACCAAGGACUUGGCUACCAAAUGUCUCAGGACCUGUAUAGGAAAAGUGACUAAUGCCGAACCUAAAUUCCCUGCCUCUUUUGACUUAUUGUCACUAAUUUAGUUUCUUCAGCUGCAAACUGGAGGAGAUAAAAGCACCUACCUCCCAGAGUUGUUAUGAGGCUCAAAUGAGAUAUUACUUGUAAAGUGCUUAUCUUAGUGUCUGGCACAUAGUGAGCACUUAAUAAGUAUAUCACUUAUAUAAAAUAGAUUUUUAUAUAAUGCUUGUUUACUUCCCAAUGUUAGGAGUAUUUGGGGAGGAGAGUAUCAAGACAUUGAUAUUUGUACUUUCCCAUCUGUCUCCUAUGCCUGGUGCAGGGGUCUGAUGACUGAGCUCCAGGUAUAGUACCCUAAUUUGUAUCCCUCGAAUGUUCUUUUGUUAUAUAUUGUGUCAUUAAUUGCAAUUGUAUAUUAAAGUUAUUAUGAAUAAACUGAAAAUUGAUAAAUUGCUACUUAAUUUUCUACAUCAAUCACUGGGUGGGCCACUGGUACCAGUGUUCUCAUUGGAAUUGAAAAGGACUCUGUUAGACUAUCUAAUGGACCUCAGUGACAAUAUUUGAACAAGUAUUCUGACUUUUAAGAUUUGAAUUGAGGAAUGAAAACUACUACCUUCCAAGUCUUUUUUUAGGAUUUGAAAGCCUUUUAUAUCUUUUUUUCAGGGCCAAUAUUCUCAGUUCCUUCUGUUGGUUUACCAGAGGUCUUAUCUUAUCUAAAUUAAGUAUUUUUUAAAUAACAAUAAUGGCUUUAUUUCUUGGCUAGUUCUAUAAAGAGAUAGUCUUUUUUAUGUCCCUUAUGAGUUGGGUCCUUCAGAUCUUCCCAAAUUGAGUGCCAAAUCGGGUCCAAGUUUAUGGUCAUUCCCUUUUCUAAAUUGUGUUUGAAAAGAAAAGUGAACUUCUAGGCAGUCUCUUUGGGAGGUUGCCAGUUAGAAUGUUGUUAGAAGAGGGUUUUGAGUGCACAGAUCCCUUUUAUUAUAUGCCCUUUGUUGAAAGUGUGAUCUUUGUAGAAUACCACUCUAGGUAUAUGUGAUUAUCUUGAUUUGAGGAACUUCAGUAAUUUUUAAAAUUUCCUUCCAAUGAUUUGAGGGCAAAGCACAAAGUACAAUGUUGCUUUAAAAAAAAAAAAAAACAACAAACUUUAUUGACAGCAUUGUAGAACAUCAUACCACGAACAGAAGGGCCAACAAGAAAGAUGUUUGUACCAAAUUGGGGUAACUUAAUCUUGUUUCAGCAGCACUUUGUGAUAUAAAAAGCUAUCAGACAUAAUACAGUAUGACCGUUGAAUUCCGAGGCUAUGGAAUCUGAACUUUUUUGGUUACAAGACAAAAGCUUUGCUCAUCACUCUUUAAAUCUGCUUU